UUCUUUCCCUUUCCCAGAGACGGCCCUGAGGGGAAGCCCUCCCUGCUCCCUCAUGGCUGCCCUCACCUCACAGCCACCACCAGCCCAGGCCCCCGGGCAGCAGCUGCCAAAUUAACUCUGAGGGCAGCCAGUCUCUCCUUUUAGCCUCGCCUGCAGAACACAGCACCGUGGGGUCACUCAAAGCCCGUGUUGUUCCAAUGCUCUAAUAACCCAUUGUUCCCCCGCGGUCGCCUCAGCGAGAUAAAACGAAAGGCCGCGUUUUCCGAGGCUGCAAAGGAAAUGACAAGAGAAGAAAAACACAGCCCAGUGCAUAUCAGCAAUUAAUUCCAUCCACAACUGCCCAGCUGUUUGUGCAUGGAGGAACUGGGCUGUUUCCCCUCUGAGCUUUGGCCACUGAAAGCUGAUACGGCACUUUCGGAGAUGUGGGCUGCUGGUAACGCGUCAGGAAUGCGCGCGGGAUCACACGGAGCUGGAGGGGAAGAAAUGAAAUCCAGACUGAGUAUCUGCGCUAUGAGGAUAAAGUUAUCUGGGGGAGAGGGAGGCCGAGGGGGGACGAGGAGCUGCCAGCCAAGCCAGGCUCAGCCUGCAGGACACAGUGGCAGAGACAAGGUGGGAUGAGCUCAGAAACCUGCACGUCUGUGCCAGCUCUGCCAAGAUGUUUUUAUGCUGGCUGGUGUCAAACAGGUAGAUUUGGGGGCACUUCACAAAAGCUGUUGCUGUCACUUGGGAUCAUGCUUACCCAGCAAAGCUGCAAUAGAGACUUGGCUCCAUCCAUUCUAGAGUAAGACUUAUUGUUGAGAAAUUACUAUGUAUUGUUAAGUCAUCUCAGCAAUGCUUGUGGCCCUGAGGCCCCAGAACUGAAGGCAGAAUUCAGUCCUUGAGAGUCUCUCCUGUGAAUGAAAUCCCCUCAUGCUACCUUGGGAUUUCAGGAAAGGCACAGAGUACAUAAAAGGGGGAUGCUAUUCGUACCAUUGACAAACCUCACCCUGUUAGAGCUCUGUAAAUUUCAUCCUACCACAACUCACCAGUUUACAUGAACAGCUCAUUUUUUCCUCUAAUACAUUUAAGAACUCAAAACAACAUGUAUUUUUUUCCUCACCAGUUAAUCCAAGCCAGUCCCCAUUUAAAAAUUCCAAAUUGAUUCCAUCUUGCUGGGUAAAGCCACACACACCAAAACACUUCUAAUAUAUAUUAUUGGCAUUUUUUUUCUCCAACACCACCAGUAAAAAAAUAGCUCCUUUGAUUUUUAGUAGCAGCAAGUCACCUUUUCAUUGGAUGGAGCAAUCAAUCCUCUCAAAACUGCACAGGUAUUCAAAAAAGUGACACUAAUAAGAAAGUAUUUUCACUUGACUAUUUUCAAGACCAGUGCCUAUGGUAAGAAGUAACUAUCACAGGGCUAUUCCCUUCAAAAAAAGCAAUGAAGUACCAACUUGUGUAUUUUGCUGAAUAAACCAAGUCUGCUAAAACUA